rfam:Triticum aestivum genome assembly, contig: Triticum_aestivum_CS42_TGACv1_scaffold_576890_7BL
GAAUUAUUCCCUCCGUCUAAAAAUACUUGUCAUCAAAAUGGAUAAAAAUGGAUGUAUCUACAAUUAAAAUACGUCUAUAUAUAUAUAUAUAUAUAUAUCUCCGUUUAUCAAUUUUGAUGACAAGUAUUUCCGGACGGAGGGAGUAGUAA